rnacentral:rRNA from 1 species
AGGGUUUGAUCCUGGCUCAGGAUGAACGCUGGCGGCGUGCCUAACACAUGCAAGUCGAGCGAGAAUCUUCUGAACAAACCUUCGGGUGAGUGAUGAAGAGGAGAGCGGCGGACGGGUGAGUAACGCGUGGGUAACCUGCCCUAUGGAGGGGGAUAACUAAGAGAAAUCUUAGCUAAUACCGCAUAAGCGCACAGCAUCGCAUGAUGCCGUGUGAAAAACUCCGGUGCCAUAGGAUGGACCCGCGUCAGAUUAGCUAGUUGGUGAGGUAACGGCUCACCAAGGCGACGAUCUGUAGCCGACCUGAGAGGGUGAUCGGCCACAUUGGGACUGAGACACGGCCCAAACUCCUACGGGAGGCAGCAGUGGGGGAUAUUGCACAAUGGGCGAAAGCCUGAUGCAGCAACGCCGCGUGAAGGAAGACGGUUUUCGGAUUGUAAACUUCUAUCAGCAGGGAAGAAAAAAGACGGUACCUGACUAAGAAGCCCCGGCUAACUACGUGCCAGCAGCCGCGGUA